rnacentral:rRNA from 1 species
UACGAAGGGGGCUGGCGUUGUUCGGAUUUACUGGGCGUAAAGCGCACGUAGGCGGAUCGAUCAGUCAGGGGUGAAAUCCCAGGGCUCAACCCUGGAACUGCCUUUGAUACUGUCGAUCUGGAGUAUGGAAGAGGUGAGCGGAAUUCCGAGUGUAGAGGUGAAAUUCGUAGAUAUUCGGAGGAACACCAGUGGCGAAGGCGGCUCACUGGUCCAUUACUGACGCUGAGGUGCGAAAGCGUGGGGAGCAAACAGG